rnacentral:rRNA from 1 species
GACGUAGGGCGCGAGCGUUGUCCGGAUUUAUUGGGCGUAAAGAGCUCGUAGGCGGCUUGUCGCGUCGAAUGUGAAAACCCACGGCUCAACUGUGGGCUUGCAUUCGAUACGGGCAGGCUAGAGUUCGGUAGGGGAGACGUGGAAUUCCUGGAUGUAGCGGUGGAAAUGCGUAGAGAUCGGGAGGAACACCUGUGGCGAAGGCGGCUCUCUGGAACGCAACUGACGCUGAGACGCGAAAGCGUGGGGAGCGAACAGG